rnacentral:rRNA from 1 species
CGAACGCUGGCGGCAGGCCUAAUACAUGCAAGUCGAACGGCUCUUCGGAGCAGUGGCGGACGGGUGAGUAACGCGUGGGAAUGUGCCCUUUGGUACGGAACAACACAGGGAAACUUGUGCUAAUACCGUAUGUGCCCUUCGGGGGAAAGAUUUAUCGCCAUUGGAGCAGCCCGCGUUGGAUUAGGUAGUUGGUGAGGUAAAGGCUCACCAAGCCUACGAUCCAUAGCUGGUCUGAGAGGAUGAUCAGCCACACUGGGACUGAGACACGGCCCAGACUCCUACGGGAGGCAGCAGUAGGGAAUCUUGCGCAAUGGGCGAAAGCCUGACGCAGCCAUGCCGCGUGAAUGAUGAAGGUCUUAGGAUUGUAAAAUUCUUUCACCGGGGAAGAUAAUGACGGUACCCGGAGAAGAAGCCCCGGCUAACUUCGUGCCAGCAGCCGCCGCCG